rnacentral:rRNA from 1 species
GACGAACGCUGGCGGCGUGCUUAACACAUGCAAGUCGAACGAAGAGCGAUGGAUGCUUGCUUCUAUCAAUCUUAGUGGCGAACGGGUGAGUAACGCGUAAUCAACCUGCCCUUCAGUGGGGGACAACAGUUGGAACCGACUGCUAAUACCGCAUACGAUCUAACCUCGGCAUCGAGGAGGGAUGACAGGUGGCCUCUAUUUAUAAGCUAUCACUGAAGGAGGGGAUUGCGUCUGAUUAGCAAGUUGGAGGGGUAACGGCCCACCAAGGCGAUGAUCAGUAGCCGGUCUGGGAGGAUGGACGGCCACAUUGGGACUGAGACACGGCCCAGACUCCUACGGGAGGCAGCAGUGGGGAAUCUUCCGCAAUGGACGAAAGUCUGACGGAGCAACGCCGCGUGAGGGAUGACGGCCUUCGGGUUGUAAAGCUCGGUUAAUCGGGACGAAAGGCCUUCUUGCGAAUAGUUAGAAGGAUUGACGGUACCGGAAUAGAAAGCCACGGCUAACUACGUG